rnacentral:rRNA from 1 species
UACGGAGGGUGCGAGCGUUGUCCGGAAUCAUUGGGCGGAAAGGGCGCGUAGGUGGCCCGGUCAGUCCGUGGUGAAAGCGCGGGGCUCAACCCUGCGUCGGCCAUGGAUACUGCCGCGGCUCGAGCACUGUAGAGGCAGGCGGAAUUCCGGGUGUAGCGGUGGAAUGCGUAGAGAUCCGGAAGAACACCGGUGGCGAAGGCGGCCUGCUGGGCAGUAUGGCUGACACUGAGGCGCGACAGCGUGGGGAGCAAACAGG